rnacentral:rRNA from 1 species
CCCUUAGAUGUUCUGGGCCGCACGCGCGCUACAAUGGCAGACUCAGCGAGUUACCUCUGUCGAAAGGCACAGGGAAUCUUUACAGUAUCUGCCGUGAUGGGGAUAGACCCUUGUAAUUUUCGGUCUUCAACGAGGAAUUCCUAGUAAACGCAAGUCAUUAACUUGCAUUGAUUACGUCCCUGCCCUUUGUACACACCGCCCGUCGCACCUACCGAUUGAAUGGUCCGGUGAAGUCCUCGGACCCAGUUGAACCUCGAGUUGAACAGGGAAAGUUGACUAAAUCUUACCAUUUAGAGGAAGGUGAAGUCGUAACA